UACGGGAGGCAGCAGUGGGGAAUAUUGGACAAUGGGCGCAAGCCUGAUCCAGCCAUGCCGCGUGAGUGAUGAAGGCCUUAGGGUUGUAAAGCUCUUUCAGUGGGGAAGAUAAUGACGGUACCCACAGAAGAAGCCCCGGCUAACUUCGUGCCAGCAGCCGCGGUAAU
rnacentral:rRNA from 1 species